UUUAAACGGCCGCGGUAUUCUAACCGUGCAAAGGUAGCGUAAUCACUUGUCUUCUAAAUAGAGACCAGUAUGAACGGCUAAAUGAGGACAAAACUGUCUCUUAUAACCAAUCAGUGAAACUGAUCUUCCAGUACAAAAGCUGGAAUAAACACAUAAGACGAGAAGACCCCGUGGAGCUUAAAACAAACCACCACCCAAACCCUGGUGAAACGUUUUAAGUUGGGGCGACUUCGGAACAAAAUAAAACUUCCGAGCACAGAACCACCACUUCCAAUCAAGGCCAACAAGCCAAAACCAAACAUGACCCAGCCAAUGUCGCUGAUCAACGAACCAAGUUACCCCGGGGAUAACAGCGCUAUCUUCUUCAAGAGUCCCUAUCAACAAGAAGGUUUACGACCUCGAUGUUGGAUCAGGACACCCAAAUGGUGCAGCCGCUAUUAAAGGUUCGUUUGUUCAACGAUUAAUAGUCCU
rnacentral:rRNA from 1 species